UACAGAGGGUGCAAGCGUUGUUCGGAAUUAUUGGGCGUAAAGCGCGUGUAGGCGGCUUUGCAAGUCGGGUGUGAAAGCCCUCGGCUCAACCGAGGAAGUGCGCCCGAAACUGCAGAGCUUGAGUACCGGAGAGGGUGGCGGAAUUCCCCAAGUAGAGGUGAAAUUCGUAGAUAUUCGCAAGAACACCAGUGGCGAAGGCGGCUCACUGGCUCGUAACUGACGCUCAGGCGCGACAGCGUGGGGAUCAAACAGG
rnacentral:rRNA from 1 species